CUAGUACGAGAGGAACCGUUGAUUCACACAAUUGGUCAUUGCGCUUGGUUGAAAAGCCAGUGGCGCGAAGCUACCGUGUGCCGGAUUAUGACUGAACGCCUCUAAGUCAGAAUCCAAGCUAGCAUGCGACGCCUGCGCCCGCCGCCCGCCCCGACCCACGUUAGGGGCGCUUGCGCCCCCAAGGGCCCGUGCCAU
rnacentral:rRNA from 1 species